GUAUGCUUCUGCCUCCCCCAAUGCUUUCCACUCCCACAGUAGCUUGUGGAGGUGAGAGGGGCCCCAGAGGAGUGGCUGCUGCGAUUGUGCAUGAGAUUGGGCUGGCUCUUCUCUCCCUGCUUCCAGCCACUCUGGGUCCCGGCAGAGCCACCAGCUCAGGGUAGGGGCAGGAGCACAUGUGCCAGCUGUUGAGAUGGGGUGGGUGACAGGGCUCUGGGACCUGGAUGGGGGGUGUCGACACAGAGAGCACCAGCCUAGUACAAUGAAGACCCAUCUUGAUGGGUCCUACUGUAAUGCUCAAUAAUAAUAAUGACUGGUCUAAUUUCACUAUACAGAACUUCUGCUUAGAACCUCCCCCCGCUCCCACUUCUGCCUGACUUCCUGCUUCACACCUCGCUGCAUUUACAGCAAAAUAUCAUAAAUAAAAUUAGCUUUAAGCAUAUGCCGAAGUCCCAUUGCUUAAGUGCUGACCUGCAAAGGGGGUCAGGGCCUGGGUGUCUCACAGUGUCCCAGGUCACUUUUAACUCUGGCCUCCUUAGCAACGACACUGUGGUAUCCGAAAGAGGGACAGGGGAGGAGCCUUCUAAUGAUAUCUGAGACAUGACACAGAGCACACAAAGUCCUCAUCCGCAGCUGACUGUGGACAUGAACAAAUUGUGGCAAACCUCUACUAUGUGUGGCUGAUGAUGCCUAUUAUUUUGUGAGCAAGGAGUGCUUACUGGCUGAUUAGACUGUAGUUCUCAGUGUUAACAAGGAUUGAUAGUUAAUUAGACUUCUGACUUAACUGAGCCAGAAGUUUUACACUGCAGAAACAAUCGUAGUGAUGAUGUACGGUGCGAGGCCUGGCCAUGAAGCUAUUUCUGGCGGCUACGCUAUUUCUGUUUGCCAAGGCUUAAUAAAAGUAUAGGAUUUUUUAAAAAAUGCCUAGAAUAUGUUGCUAAAAUAGAACAACUACAGUGAGUACCUUGGCCUGGCCAGUUCAGGCCUGGAUAAGAUUCCCAUAUUGGUCUUCCCAAAAAAGUACACAGUAGUGGCAGACAGCCACUGGAAAGUGGCAGAAAUGAUUUCCAUGCCCAUAAUGCUAUUUUUACAAUUCCCAGAGUAUUUCUGGAAAGUCUGCCUUUCUAUAUAAUGGAAACAGUGGUGAUUGAUACUGGGCUACAGGUUGUUACGCUGCCAUGUGCCAUGGAGACCAUGGAGUCCAGUAUUAUGCCUACGGUAAUGGAAAAGUCAAUAUGGAUAUUGGCCCGAAGGUGCACCUACACAGGGGAAAAUGACCCGUUGUUGCCAUUUGUUGUUAGCAAUGGAUCCUCUCGGGACCAUCCUCAAUUGAAAAUGAAAAUUGUCUGUUACAGCGAACAGAUCCAAACUGUUUCCAACAGCUAUUGAAGAAGUUAAGGGGUGUCACAUACCUUUUGUGAUUGCUGUUAAAUGUGUGCCUGAAAAUGCAGUAUUACUGUAACAAUGGCAUAAUGAUUUGGUUUUAUUGCUCCUCAACUUCUCUAUCAAAUGUGCUCCUUUUAUAAGUGAAAAGGCAUUUUUUUUCUAAUUGCCAUCCCUGCAAAGUCAAUCUGGGCUCUAAGGGCUAUUCACAAGGGGGAUUUAGGCACCUAACUGCCCCUUUAGGUGCCUGUGACACUCUGUACCCCAAAGUAGCACCCUGGAACCUCCAUAUUCACCACUGUCAUAUGGUUAUGAUAUGUUUUGUACAAAGUAUACCUUGUGGAGUAUCAUUUUAAAAGUCGUGAUUGGUUGAGCUUUAAUAUCCUGUUGGAUCAUAUGUGCUAUAAUUGUAUAUGAAGUUAUGAAGUUUUGCUAUGUGUGUGUUACUGUAAUAUCUUGUGAGGUUGGGAGACACCCACAGCCAGCCUUUCAGCUACAACAAAGGAGUAGCCAUCCGGGCCUUAAUGGCUCCUCAAUGACCAUCCACUAUCAGACUAACACAUGUCACAGCAAGGAUCUUUCUGGCAGCUGGAAGAAAGUAUAAAAGAGGGAGAGUGACAUCAUCACUUGGUCUCCCCCUCACCCCUCACUCAACCCCUGGAAGAACAUCUGGAAGACAAAGACUUUGAACUGGGGAAGUUUGGUCCCAGGCUGGAAAGGGGCCCAGUCUGUGUACUGAGGAACUGUAACCUGCUUGUGCCAUCCGUUAUGGUGAGACACUGCUUGAUUCAAAUCUUCCUUAGUCUGUUUAAGUUAGAAUGUAGACUGUAAAUUUAUUUUUAAUUUCUUGGGUAACAAGCUUUGAUCCC